AAAACUUUCAACAACGGAUCUCUUGGUUCUGGCAUCGAUGAAGAACGUGGCGAAAUGCGAUAAGUAAUGCGAAUUGCAGAAUUCAGUGAAUCAUCGAAUCUUUGAACGCACAUUGCGCCCUUCGGCAUUCCGGGGGGCAUGCCUGUCCGAGCGUCAUUA
rnacentral:rRNA from 1 species